AAGCGCUCUCCCCACCCUUUUCCUUUUUGGACUAUCGAAGAGAUGAUGGUCAUGUACUAAAUAUUUGUGAUCAUGUCCGGAGAAAUCGAAGAGAUAGGAGAAGAUAGAAAGAGUGUAACAAUUAGCAGCAAAUUAGAUGGUGGAAAAAAUCAUGAUAUCUAUAUUGCUGUUGGCAAAAAUGACUUGCAUGUUCUUCAAUGGGCACUUGAUCAUGCCAUCUAACCAGGAGUUCACAUAUGUCUUGUCCAUGUUUUCCCUCCCAUAACCUACUUUCAUACACCAGUUGGGAAGUUAUCAAGAAAUCAGUUGAGCCAAGAGCAGGUGAAAGUGUACAUCAAUGAAGAGAACAACAGGAGGAAGAAUUUGUUGGAAAAAUACAUGCGUCUGUGCAAUGAUGCCAAAAAGGGCGCAAGUGUACCUGUAGAUACUAUGCUUGUAGAGAGCAACUCACCAUCUAAAGCAUUACUUGACCUUAUCUCUGUCGUCAACAUAACCAGCCUUAUACUUGGAACUAGGCGAUCAACUUCCACAGGCAAGGGACAAGGAAUAGGUGAUUUUGUACCAAAAAAAUGCACCACAUUCCUGUGAGGUUACGCUGGUUUCUGCUGGAAAAAGGAUUAAGAACGACCAACUAAUACAGAGUUGUAAUUCUUACUCUCUUGGAUAUAGGCAUUCCAAAAGGAUUUUAUUUGAAUGCAUCUGCUUUUCCGGCAAGUUUGAUUGAGAUGUAGCAAGCAAAUAGGUAAAGAGGUUAUACUCCAUCUAGUUGUAGCGGUGUGAUUCUUGAACUAUUACUUCUCUCUGUCCCCUAUAUAUGUAAUAGAAAAGAAAGUCUAAGGGGUUCGUUUGGUAGGAGGUAUUGGAAAAAAUGAUGCAAACAUUAGCUCUAUGCAUUAUUAAUAAUUUGU